rnacentral:piRNA from 1 species
UCUUAGGACUUUCAGGUGCGUUACAA